rnacentral:rRNA from 1 species
AGGGUGUAAACGCUGCAGACUUGGUGUUGGAAGUCCUUUGGGGGCAUUCAGUGCCGGAGAGAAGUUGUUAAGUCUGCUACUUGGGGAGUACGUCCGCAAGGAUGAAACUUAAAGGAAUUGGCGGGGGAGCACCGCAACGGGAGGAGCGUGCGGUUUAAUUGGAUUCAACACCGGGAAGCUCACCGGAUAAGACAGCGGAAUGAUUGCCGGGCUGAAGACUCUGCAUGACUAGCUGAGAGGAGGUGCAUGGCGUAGACGUCU